AUCAACACAAGAAGUAACAAUCUUCCUUUAACAGAUUUACUGAAUAUUGCAUACUGAAAAUUUGCUACAACGGCAACUACGGCACAGACAUUGUCAACCAUGGCAGUUGGUGCCGAAAACAUGGGUAAUGUUAAAAGGCAGUUGGUACAGCUGUUUGAGGUAUCUCUACGAGCAACCGUACCUAGCGAGACAGAUGUAGCACCAUUAGUUGAUGCUUGCAUUACAAAAUCUGGUGUAAGAUUUGGCGAUUACUAAUGUAAUAAUGCAAUGGGUUUAUGGUCUAAGAUAAAAGGAAAGCAGACAGAGUUUAGGGAUCCUACUGCUGUUGGGCAGGCCAUAAUGAAGAAUCUUCCCCCUUCUGAUAUGCCUUAGUCAUACUAAUAACCAAAUUGACGUUUAUGGCACAUUUGAGGGUUCUUGGUUUUGGUGAUUGCUGCUUUGGGGAAUGAGAUCACUGAGUUGAAAACCCUGCCAGAGGACACAACAUCUUUGGAGGAAAAGAAGGUUGGAGUAAAGGGGCUGGGGGAAGAAGAAAACGGACUAGUCAGAGCACUUUGUUUGGAAGGAUGACAUGAAACAGUGAGUAUGCUGUUUAUGUUCCUAAGCAGGUGAGAAUAUGCUACUUAGUGGGAGUCAAGUAUAGGAGAAGGGAGCAGUGAUGGACACCGCAGAGUGAAAACACCAGCAUUUUGUGAUGGUGAAAUUAAGGACCAUGUGUUUUGGCCGAAGCUCCUUCAAGUUUAGAAAGAAGUUUGGAACCAUUUGGUUAGCAUUGAAUAUUUGUUCUCUUGUGUGAUUGGUAAAAUAUUUGUAUCACUUUUUUUUUUCUUAUAUAUAUUUAUAUGGAAUGUUGUAGAGUUUAAAUGCUAUAAGUAUUUUUUUUUAUUAUU